rnacentral:lncRNA from 1 species
GGCUAUUAUUGGGCCUAGUGGUGCUGGAAAAUCAACCUUACUUGAUGCCCUGGCUGGCCGGAUUGCUCGGGGGAGUCUCGAGGGGUCUGUUAAAAUGGACGGCAAGGUGGUGAGUGAUGAGUAAUCUGUGAUUUUAUUGACUAUUAGUGUAAUCACAGUUUCAGAAGGGUGGUUUUACCUUGUAGGUGACUACCAGCUAUAUGAAGAAGAUAUCUUCUUACGUGAUGCAAGACCAUAAUCUCUUCCCCAAGCUGACAGUUUUCGAGACGUUCUUGUUCGCUGCAGAGUUCAGACUUCCUCCGACCAUUUCCAGAGCCGAG